CACAGCCUGUGCUGUGUUAUUUGUGCAAUGCCACACUGCCCUGCAGCCGGGAUAAUCAGCUCCAUCUCAGUGACUCCACCCCCACCAAAACGGAAAAUGCCUCAUUCAAACUCGGAGAAGACAUAACCAGGAGCUUUGUCACCUAAGUGUCCAGGCCAGCACCUGUGGAGCAAUAACACACUGUAAGCAGGCUGGAGGUGAGGAUUAAUGGCCUUAGGGUGGUGUGGAAAUGAAGAAAUCAGAAACGAUUUCUCUCUUCUCAUGUGUUCAUUUCACUAGAUGUAUGAGGGCAAGGACCAUCUCUUCUUAUGCACCUAUAAACUAUAUGGCAAACGGGACAGCCUCCCUGGUGUGGAGGGCACAGACAGAAGGAAGCCCUGGAGAAAUCUGCCUUGUCUCUACUUCCUUGCCGUACACCCUAUAGCCCAAGGCCAGACUGAUCUCUUCUUCAGCAGGACUUUGUUUACUGGUAGGUAUUUAAUUUUUAUCUCUUCAGCCUGCUCAGAGGCUGAUGAGACUUGAUCUUAUAUGACAUGCUACCCACUUGGUCUCAGAGCUUUCCCGUUGCUCCCACUUUUUUAAGACAAUAAAACUGUGCCUUGGGUUGCUAGUCCUGUUUGGUCUGAAUAAGUGUCCCUCAGCAUCCUUGCUUUUCAGCUCAGCAAGUCUGCAUUUGUGAGCCUGACGCCUGACUUUUCCUGAAGCAGCUGGUCCUUCAAAGUGAGCAGGUUUCCCUUGCUUGGGGGAAACAUCUGCUCUGUAUGAGUAUCUCCUGAAUCUAAAGUCUCAGGCAAGGUCUUCCACAUCACAGAAGAGCAUCCAAGCCAGGCUGCAGAGCCAGUUUCUCCCAUGAUAUCUUCCCCAAUGGCCAGUUAAUUUCAGUUUCUGUAGAUAAAGCCCCUUUUCCAGAAUUAUGCAAACCUAAGCCUAGAGCUUGUGACAUUCACAUGAUACCCUGUUGGAUUGUGUUUGUCUCUGCUAGUCUAAGAAAAGAGCUUCUGAUAUUUGAACUUUUCCAAUUUCUGCCAGUUUUUUUUCCAGAAGGCAAAAACCAUUUCUAAAAUAGAUUUUCAUAUUCAGUGGAAUAUUAACUUUUGUUGAAAAUAAGUCAGAUAAAGUGAUAGAUGUUUAAGAGUAUUGGAAAGAGGUAAUUCAACAGAAAUUCAUCUCAAUGGGAAGAAUUUUUUUAAACAAUGUAUGAAUUGAACAAUUAAUGAAAAAAAUCAUUAACUGCUUCUGUUUCAUAGUGAAAGAGUCAAAGAAUCAUUUUCUUGAGAAAGAUGGUGUGCGGGCACUUGGUAAACCGAUAUAGAAUGUUCUACAAGUAGCAUUGUUAUUAAACUACUAAUUUCUAUAUAGGAUUGACUCUAAAAAGUCUGAACAUCAUUAAUAAACACUUCAUGUUUAUAAAAACUCCAGAUGUUAGCCAGUAGUUCAUAAUGAUAUAUAUACCUGCCCAAUUCAGUGGUGUUUUUUUCCUACAUUCUGAAACAGUCAGUUUCUCUUGAUUUAUUCAAGUUAUUUUUCCCCUUUCUACAGUCUAAUAGCAAAGCAUUUCCUUGAAAAUAUGAUAAUAUAUAUUGACUCUCAACAGCAUUGGUUAGCUGUGGCUGCUCAGCUGUGUCAGGGGAGUCAGUUCUGUUCAGUGAGGAAGGAAGUGAAUCUAUACUCUCCCUACAAGCACCUUCCCAUGUCAUUUAUAAACUUCCUUUGCAUGAACAUUUGGCCUUAAAUCUUGCCUUCCCAUAGGAUAACACAAAGAAAGGCGUUAGCCCAAAGAGUCUUCAUGCACAAUUGAAACAGAUACCAGUAGAUUUCUCUUUUUGGAGUAUUCUCCUGUGUUUGGAAAGAACAGUUCUUCUAUUGACCAGAGACACUGCAAAAGUAGAAGAAUAAACUGCAAAAACCAUAGGAGGUAGAAGCUUUCAUCAAAAGAAUAUAAAAUGGCAGGAGAGACAGCUCUUGCUGAGCUAUUGGACUGCAUAAUUGUCCAGGGAUUUUUCUACUGAAGCUUGUAGAAAUUUUUCCACUGGAACAGGUUUUCCACUAGAAAAUGAUGAUUUGAUAAAAUGGAAACUUUUCACAGCUGUACAUUGAUUUCUUCUAAAUUUUUGAUGGAUCAUUAUUGAAACAACUUGUUGAGGUAGUAUUUCAACUUGUUUUAAUGUAACAAGAGUUGAUAUAAGGUGAAGUGUUUCAAAUUUUGUUCUCUUUUUUUUUUUUAAAAGUUUUGUAAUGAACCCAAACAUUAACAUUUCAACAUUCCAUCUUUCUUAGUGUGAAGGGAAACUUUUUCUAGCAUCAGCAGCUCCUGUGGACAGGACAUUCUACUCCGCCCUGAGGCCUCCUGAUGCUCCUGUAACCCGUUGGAGGCCAACAGAGUUUCCUCAGCAGCUCUCACCCCUUCUCCCAUAUUAACAUCCAUUCACUCCAUACUAUAUCGGGGGGCAGUGUGAGAGCAUUUGUGCCUGUGUCCAUCCUAAGAAACACACUGAUGCUUGGCUAUUAUUUCAUCCUGCCCAAGCUAGCAAUGCAUACUUGCACUUAACUAAACUGUUCCUCUGAUACACCUCCGAGUUGUGAAAAAUUCAAAACUUUAAGGCUUCAGAAUGAUACAAAUAGGUAUUUUCCUUUUAAUUCCUCCUCAUCUACUCCUCCACAGACACUGGAAAUGUACAGCUCCCAUAGCCUCUUAAGAUAUAAAGUAUUAUUGACCUUUCUGUAAUAUCUAGAUUCCUCCUUCCUCUCUCUUCUCUCACAGGUUUUCUGGCAUUCAGACUUGGCAAGUAGCUUACCAAAACAAACACUGCAUGAAUGCUGAGAGGACAGCAUCUGAUUAAAUGUUGGAUGUUAAUUGUAGCCAUAUUUUGUUUCUAUUUUCAAACAGUAGAACAGAAUAAGCUCCGUUAAAAGUUUGACCUUUGAAAGCCACAAUACUUGACUUAUCUUGAGAACACUUCCUCCACAGCAAGGCCCAUUUGCCCAUGCAUGAUGCUGUCUGCUCUGAGCAACAGAAUAGGUUUCUAAGCACUUUAAGUACAAUUCAAAGAAAAAACAUCUUAAACUCUACAAUACUUAGUCAUAUUUUGAAGUAGCUUUCUCAAAUAUUCUGAAGGACUUCAACUAGUCAACUUUUCAGGAUAACUUAUGUAUUUGGAAGUCUUAUAUUGAGCUGCUAGAUGCCAAGUACUCUAUUAAAACACUUAGUAGGACAAACAAGAUCUAUACUUCUGAUCAUAAGGGAGCAACUUAGUUGUGCUCCAGAUUAAAAGAAAAAAGUUUAAAUCCAAGAGGAACAGUUUACAUUAAGGUACACUAAGAACCACAGGUUAAAUUACACAGGGUUUGCUAAGCUUCAUUGUUCUUUGGAAGAAAGCAGAAAAUGUGAAGCCAAAACUGAAAGCUGAAAUACUGAGGAACUCACUGCACGCCGAAUACCUCCAUAGAUUGCCCUGAAAACUUACACAAACAUCCUCUCAUGAAAUCUCAGGCUUUUAAUCUUACUCCACACAUUCUGAAGGUUUUGAUAUGGCCUACGUGGUCUAUAACUAAUUUAUACUCAUUAUACUUCUACUGUCAGUUUACCUGAGCAGUGGUAAGGAAAAUAACAUGCUGUAUCACUGCAGAGAUCUUGUCAAUUAAAUGCAGAGAGCACUUCAGUAUCCAUAUAUACAACUGUACCAUUGAACUGAAAGUACACAGAAACUGUUAGGAAUACGCCAUGCUGCCUGUAUGUACCAUUACCCGGUAAAAUACUUCAAUAUUGCAAUAAUAUCUGCCAGCUGCAACUCACUGUGCCUCACAUCAAAUCAAAUGGCAUAAAUGUGCGGAGCCAGGACCAGUGUCAGCUAUUAUGUGGCAGUUUUUCCUAAGGGGACAUGCUGACAGACAAUCAAAACUUUUCUUUAAUAUUUCUUAUUGUGUUUCUGCUAGUGAGACUACCUGUCAUGUAGCAAUCAUUCGUUGCUUGUGACAGAGAAAUAAAACCAGAACACAAAAGAACUUGGAUACCCAUCUCAAAUGUUUGGAUUUGACGAAGUUUGUUCAUGUUUGGGUUCGGCUUUGAGCAGCGGUAUGCCAUGGUGUGGUCGUGGGCUUAGGUUAGUCAUUUUGGGGAAUGUCAGAUACCCUUAACUGAAAAUCCAAGACUCCCUUGUGAAAACCUGGCUCUUCAUAUACACAGUAACCCCCUAACACAUCACACUGACUAUGGUGGAAGGAUGUCACAGAUGGAAAUGUUCAGCCUGGAUGGGCUGAGCAUGCAAAAUCUGGAUUUUAUUUGAACUACCAUUGCAGGGCAGUGAAAUGUGAUAACAAAUACUUGUCAUACCACAUUGGUCAAAGUCUCAGUUUCUCUGUUAUAACAGCAAAAGAAGAAGCAAACAAGCAAAUAAAACUCCCAAGCUGAAAGGAAUCCUCCCCGAACAGUAAGUGUGGUUGUACCAUGUUGUGGUCCAGAGGAUGUAGCACUGCUAUGUCAGCAUUACAGAGUGACUGCCUUUGCCCUGAGCAAUGGCUAAGGUAAUCUUUAUAUCAUUAAACUGAUGAAUUGUACUUUGUGUAGAGAAUUGUGGUCACGGUGUAAAUCAGGAAUUUUGUAGUUUGAGAACCUCAGAUCUAGUCUCUAUGCUCUAACAAAAUAUAAUUCUCCCUGCAGAUUCUGCUAUGCAGGUUGCUGAUUUUUAAAAGAACUGCUAACAUUUAUAUUACUUGAAACCGGAGUAUUUUCAAAUCAAAACCACAAAGGUAACUGUCCAACAUGGCCUACAUGUUACACUGGAUAAUUAAUCCCUUUCUAGUUUGUAGAGUAAAAUCUCUUAUUCUUGGCCAGUGUUUCACUGCCUGUGCCUCAAACAUUUUUUUCUCCUUGUUCCCCUACACAUCUCACUAUACAUCCUUUCUUUUCUGUCUCUACUCUGACUCUCUAUUGCCUCUUUCGGUUUUCCAACACUAUCCACUUUUUUGCUUCUCUCAGCCAAUGUUUUCCACCUAAGAAGUGGGUCCUAGUGCUUGCUUCUUUCUAUGCACCAUAAUCUUGAUCAGCUGUAGCACCUUCCUUUGCUCAGGAAUUGCCAGGGAGACACCUGGGAAGACCACACCCUUUGAAAAGACCAAAG